CUUUCAGUAGCAUGAGUGAAGGGGCGGGGCGAGUCACCCCAUGCGUUCGCUAUCGCGAGGUGAUUGGCUCAUCACGCACACGCCCAGAGAACGUCACGCCCCCUGUCUAGCUCGCUGUCGCUGUACAUGUGAUGUAGGCAUUUCAGGAAAUGGAAGCAAUUCAGUGAUGGGAACAGAAAUAUUUAACUCUCACUCUAAAGCAAGCAACAAAUGUCAAAAGCAUGUUCUUAAACCUCAAAUGUAGGCAAUGCACAAUAAAAUUGUGCUUUUUUACUAACUUUUUUGCACUCUGCAAUCUGUUUACUUAGUAGUUGAUAUGCAUAAGAGUUAUAAGAGUCCUUGUCCGACUCCAGACUAUCACAGAAGGGUUAUCUACUUUGAAUGGCAAAGUGAAAUUAGGCUUCUAUUAUUUGGAGAGUGCUGGAACGUGGAGACUGUGCAGUUGCAUUAACAAGAAACUCCUGUCACGAGAGGCUCUGAAGAGAGGGAGACAGACAGAGAAAGAGGGGAGAGGGUCCCAACUUGGUGUGAUUGACAUUUCCUGUCUGUGAGGUCGUUUUAGGCCUUAAGGUGUUGAUGCUACUUGAGAAAUGGGAUGGAGUCAAGCCCUGAGUCAGACUGACAUUAGACAGACACUACACUCAUAAUAUUCAUCCUAUAAAAGUCUUCCAUUUUGAA